rnacentral:lncRNA from 1 species
UAUAGGCCCCCCAACACUAAUACAAUUUUCAGUUUAGCAGUUCAGAAUCUGAUACUUUUCACCAAAGCCCUUCUGAAUGUCCGUUUGCGCUCAAAUUUGACAAUGUGGCUCGGUUUAAAUUAACAAGAAGAGCGAAAUCUUAACUUCUCAGUUUCGAACCAUUUUUGGUCACAGAAAGCUCUACCGACUAAAAUCUCUAGCAAAUAGCAGUCAGAUUUUAUUUUCCACUUUCCGAAUGUCGGAAUGAUAUGAAACUUUAAAUCUAGCCUAAUAAAAUUAAAUCUGACAUAUUCUCAAACUUUCAUAAUUUUCUGACGCAGUGAAUUUUUUGCUAAAAUAUCAGCUCCGUUUCUUACAGAAAAUUCUAAAUCUUCUGUUUCCAUUCCAAUUUCAACACAAGUCAUUUCCGACUUAUAUUUCACUUCUUUAAGUCCAAUAAAAAUAAUAUCUUACACUAUUUUUAUUUAUAUUUACUUUUAUAUUAAAAAUCCGGAACAUUACAGUGUGUGUGCGCGUUUUGAAGAGGAAAGGGGAGAAGGGCCCCAUAUAUAGGCCCUCAAGUGAAAUUACCCUUUUACCACUCUAAAACUGCAUUCUGUCAGGCUGAGUAUCGGUACUCAGGUUCGUGUACCGGUAUUCGGCUGUUCAGUACCGGUACCCCGUUCCAGUACCUCAAAACCCGAGAGUUAAUAUUCUCAGUUUUCCACUGCGUACCAGUAUUCAAUUUCCAGUACCGGUACCCAAUACGAAUCCAGUACCGGUACCUGAGCUUGGUUCCUCAGAACCCG